UACGGAGGGUGCGAGCGUUGUCCGGAAUCAUUGGGCGUAAAGGGCGCGUAGGUGGCCCCUCAAGCGGGCGGUGAAAGUCGGGGGGCUCAACCCCCCGAUCGGCCGUGCGAACUGGGGGGCUGGAGCACUGUAGAGGCAGGCGGAAUUCCGGGUGUAGCGGUGGAAUGCGUAGAGAUCCGGAAGAACACCGGUGGCGAAGGCGG
rnacentral:rRNA from 1 species